UACGUAGGGUGCAAGCGUUGUCCGGAAUUACUGGGCGUAAAGGGCUCGUAGGCGGCCAACUAAGUCAGACGUGAAAUCCCUCGGCUUAACCGGGGAACUGCGUCUGAUACUGGAUGGCUGGAGGUUGGGAGAGGGAUGCGGAAUUCCAGGUGUAGCGGUGAAAUGCGUAGAUAUCUGGAGGAACACCGGUGGCGAAGGCGGCAUCCUGGACCAAUUCUGACGCUGAGGAGCGAAAGCCAGGGGAGCAAACGGG
rnacentral:rRNA from 1 species